AAGACUAUACUUUCAGGGAUCAUUUCUAUAGUGUAUGACUAGGAAAGUUGAUUCAGAAGUGUAGCGUCUUUCUAACCACGAUGACGAGGAGCGAUGUACUCUUCUAAGCGCGAAUCGGAUAUUAGCUCAUGAUUUAUAUCAAGAGCUUUUGUCAUUGAUGACCGUUCCCUAUUUUUCGCAAGAUAGGAGAAGAAGAGUGCAUGUUCAGAGUGGU